AUGUCCACAUCAUGUUGAAACACCAGUUCCCAUAUGAUCACCAAAACUAAGCAAUGCCAAGUCUAGUCAGUACCUAGACGGGUGACCCCUUGGGAAUACCAGGUGCUGUAAG